rnacentral:miRNA from 1 species
CACCACGAGCCCUACCACGCGGUAG